rnacentral:rRNA from 1 species
UACGUAGGGGGCAAGCGUUGUCCGGAAUCAUUGGGCGUAAAGAGCGUGUAGGCGGCUCGGUAAGUCCGCUGUGAAAGUCCAGGGCUCAACCCUGGAAUGCCGGUGGAAACUGUCGGGCUAGAGUCCGGAAGAGGUGAGUGGAAUUCCUGGUGUAGCGGUGAAAUGCGCAGAUAUCAGGAGGAACACCAAUGGCGAAAGCAGCUCGCUGGGACGGUACUGACGCUGAGACGCGAAAGCGUGGGGAGCAAACAGG